rnacentral:rRNA from 1 species
UGGGGAAUAUUGCGCAAUGGAGGCAACUCUGACGCAGCAAUGCCGCGUGAGUGAAGAAGGGAUUCGUUCUGUAAAGCUCUGUUAUCGGGGAAGAGGAAGACGGUACCCGAUGAGCAAGCCCCAGCCAACUACGUGCCAGCAGCUGCGGUAAUACGUAGGGGGCGAGCGUUAUCCGGAUUUAUUGGGCGUAAAGGGCACGCAGGCGGCUGUUUAGGUGUGAUGUGAAAGCCCGGGGCUUAACCCUGAGGUAGCAUUGCAAACCGGGCAGCUAGAGUGAGGUAGAGGCAGACAGAAUUUCUGGUGUAGCGGUGAAAUGCGCAGAGAUCAGGAGGAAUACCGGAGGCGAAGGCGGUCUGCCGGGCCUUUACUGACGCUGAGGUGCGAAAGCGUGGGGAGCGAA